CGAAUAUCGUAAUAUUCGUAUAGUAUAGGUAGUUGUGCCGUGUUUACUGGAAUAAUAUUGUGAUGUAUGAUGUAUGGUGUACCAAUAUAAUACCCAAUAUAGUGUUUGUGUAUACAGACUAUACAUCAGCGUUAUAUUAUUAUAAUAUUUUCAUCGUCGUCGUCGUGAAUAUAUAUAUUAAAUGUACACACUAUGGCAGAGGCCAGAGACGUAAAUGCGAUACUCGUUUUUUUAAUAAGACAUUUCACGGUAAUGAAUAUAUAAUAUACAUAUUAUUUUAUUAAUUUCAUAACGUUUCAGACGUUUAUCGUCCCGUGUCGGCUAUGUUUUAAAUAUUCCUCAACCGUUGCACGACUGUUCUGCUGCUCUUCUGCUGGUCCAUCAACACUAGCUAAUAGAGGAAUAGGCAACAACAUAAAAUUCUUCCAAAAUCUUAUUGGCGGUUCGGCUGGUGCUCCAUCGCUCCUUUGCCUCAUCAAAUGUCGAGUUCCUCGACGUCAAACUCGCUAUAUUCCUCAGUUUACUCAGUUACCUAAACGCUCUAAUUACAGUCAAAAUAAUUCUAUCGACUGUAUAAUGAGACCAGAAAACACUCACCCUUCCUUCCAUUUUAAAAAAAUACAAGUUUUAUUGCGCAUACGCACACUGAGAGGAUAAGAAAUUUUAAAAUCCAUACAAAAUGUGUAUUUCAGUAUUUCCUAUCUUCUCUUGAAAACCCCAUUUCAAUCCAAGAUCACUGAACAAAAAUAUUUCAUGUUACCAUUUGAGUGAAACACACUGCAUAAGCACAAAUCACUGAUUACCUUAUCUGUUUUCAGGUCCAGUUCAAGACGUACCUAGGCUUAGGUUUUUUUACAGACUAUUGUCCAACUUUUGUGUCACUAGAUAACAGCUUUUAUGCCAAACGAACACCAAAACAGUGUGGAGGUGGUGUUUUUGCUGAACGCCCACACGUAAAACAAAAUUAUAUUCCACAAUAGGUAGUUCUGUAUUAAGAAUUUGUAUGUGAAUGAUAACAUCAAUGCAGUAUGGAGAUAGUGCGGAAAAUGGUGCACCACAGUACCACACAUAGUAGUCGUUAAUGAUGUUUUCGUUUUGGGUGGAUUGUGGUCAUUUUUGAAAUAUUUGCAUAACCGCAUUUUUUUUAAAAAUUUUUUUGUACGAGGAAACUCGUAUAGGUACCUACGCCACGCCAUCGCCAUGGCGCAUCAAUGCGUCACUGUCACACUGCAUUAAUAUUACGGUUUCGUACCACAUUAUGUAUAGUUAUUGGUGUGUGCACCUAGUCCUAAAAUUGACACAAAUAGUCGUAAGUAUAUAGGAACAAGUAACUAUAAGUCUAUAGCACAUUUACUUUUUCAUAUAAUUCCAGAAGUACCUAUUCUUUUUAAAAUUUGAAGACACAUGCUCACCACAUCAUAUUAAUGUUAGCUCCUCCAAUCACGAAAAACUAAACACGCCCGUGUUAGGUAUUUGGUAUUAAUACAUUAUUUUUAUAAUCAUUAGGAAGUCAAUGAAUUCACGUAUAUUAUCAUUAAUUUUCUCUUAAACUGAAAAUUUCGUUUCCAAGUUUGUAAAGAAAACAUCAAAUAAUGUAUUCACGGAUGGAUAAAAUUAUCGCCACCACUAUUUUUCCAUCUGUCUUUCGAGGAAAGUUAAAGCUCCAUUUAUAUUCGUACCAAUCAUAAUUUUUAAUACGACCAUAAUAUAUUCGUAUGUCUAUCAAUAAAAAUAUAUAAUUAAUAUAUGAUUUGUAUACAAAUAUGGAAUUAUAUAGUUUUCGAUUUCGGGAUUACUACAGAUUGCUUAUUUUAGUAGAAAACUUUAGAUAUGUCUAGUAUAUGAUCUAAGUAGAAAACCAACAACCAACCAUUUUUGUAUCUUUUAUUAAUAAUUGAUAAAUAAAAAAUUUGACGAUAAUAGUAUAACGGUAAUCUCGUAUUAAAAAAAAUAUAUAUGUAUGUAAAAAAACUAAGAAGUUGUACGUUUUCCAAAUUUAAAAUUAAAUUAUACCGUUGAAUUUUUAUCACAGUAUAUCUAUCUAAUCUAAAUUUCCAAGUUCGAACGUUUACAAUCCCCCUGGCUCUGAGUGACCAUUAUAUAUUUUAUAUAUUAUUGGCUGUGAAUUAAAAGUUAUUAAAUCUUGAUGUACGCACAUUUGUUUUAGAAUAUUGUGUCUUCCUUUUAAUUUAUUUCCAAUUCGAACGUUAUAUACCUACUAUGAUAUUAUUGUAAUCGAUUAGUUAUAGAUGUAUAGCAGGGACUAAAAUCGUGUGUGUAGUACGACACACUUUGUGUAAUACGAAAUUUUAGAUACGCAGUACGAAAUUAAAAAGUGUGUAGCCGCUAUAAUAUGAUAUUUAUUUGUAUUAGAUUUUAAUUUUACUUUUUUUUGCACUUUGAACAAAUUAUUUAAUUGAUUUAUUAAUUAAUUUAUUUAUUUAAUUAUUUUUAGAGAAAAAAAUUCUGAAAUGUACCUUUGUUAAAAUUUUAAAUAGUAGCAAGU